AUAAUCUACUCGAUUGUUUGGGUUAUUGGAUAACCGUGGGAAAUCUAGAGCUAAUACAUGUAUGUUGUGGUAUGUGGGUAAAACCGUAUAUCAUUUGCAUUUAUUAGAGAACACCAACCGUAUGAGUAAAAUCUUGCGUGGUGAAUCUAGAUAACUUUGCAGAUCGUAUGGCCUAGAGCCGGCGACAUUUCGAUUGAGUUUCUGCCCUAUCACUUAGAUGCAAGUGUGUUGUACUUGCAUGAGGACGACGGGUAACGGAGGAUAAGGGUUCGAUCCCGGAGAGGGAGCCUGAGAAACGGCUACCACAUCCAAGGAAGGCAGCAGGCGCGAAAAUUACCCAAUCCAGACAAUGGGAGGUGGUGACGAGAAGUACCAGAUGGCGUCCAAUUGGUCGCCAGUUUGGAAUGGAAUCAAUUUAAGCAAUUGAAUUGAGUAUCAACUGGAGGGCAAGUCUGGUGCCAGCAGCCGCGGUAAUUCCAGCUCCAGUAGCGUAUCUCAAAGUUGCUGCGCUUAAAACGCUCGUAGUUGGAUCACUAACCAUGUUUUGGUGUAUUGCAAUACAGUUUACCGUAAGUCUGUAUCAAUGCUGUAUGAUCUCAUACAGUAUCUGUGCACGACUGGUAUAGUAUUGACAAUAAUCAAACAAUGGUAAUUGCACGUGAGGAUGACUUUUGACCUUAAAUGAGUUUGGAGUCGUGUCUCACGGGGUGUGCCUUGAGUAAAUCAGUGUGCUCAAAGCAGGCGAAAUGCCUGAAUGUUGAUAGCAUGGAACGAACAAUCGUGUACGGUGUGUGCUGGUGACAAUUGUAGUGUAUCACUUUCAAUUGCAGUACACGACACCGACCACCAAUAUCGGAAGUUGGUUCCGUAUUGGGGUACUGAUUAAGAGGAGCGGUUGGGGGCAUUGGUAUUUGGCAGCGAGAGGUGAAAUUCUUAGACCUGCCAAGGACUAACAAAUGCGAAGGCAUCUGUCCAGACCGUAUCCAUUAAUCAAGAACGAUAGUGAGAGGUUCGAAGACGAUCAGAUACCGUCCUAGUUCUCACUGUAAACUAUGCCGACCCGGGAUCAGUUUGUGAGUUUAAAAUGCUCGGGAUUGGUCCCCCUGGGAAACCUAAAGUUUUUCGGUUGCGGGGGGAGUAUGGUCGCAAGGCUGAAACUUAAAGGAAUUGACGGAAGGGCACCACCAGGGGUGGAGCCUGCGGCUUAAUUUGACUCAACACGGGAAAACUUACCUGGUCCGGACACCAAGAGGAUAAUCAGACCGAGAGAUCUUAUUUGAUAUGGUGAUAAGUGGUGCAUGGCCGUUCUUAGUUCGUGAAGUGAUUUGUCAGGUCUUCCGGUAACGGACGAGAUCACGGUCCCCAUUUGACGAACUGUAGCAAGUGUGAACAGACUGUAUUUUUGGAAACAAAGAUGCAGUAGAUGUUCGCAUUAUAGGCAGUGUAUAUUGAUGUUUGAGUUGGACUGUUGCAAUGGCCUUAAACUGUUGUAGCGGUCAAAUUUGUACGGAUUGUACAUUCCCUACAGUUAUUCAGUAUAUGAUCACAAGUUGUAUGCUGUAUCAUGGAGAGACAACGGAAUAUAUUACAAAAUCCGAGGAAGUGUGGCUAUAACAGGUCUGUGAUGCCCUUAGAUGUUCAGGGCUGCACGCGCGCUACAAUGGUAGUGACAACGAGUUUCUGGAUCGAAAGAUUCGGGUAAUCUUAUAAUCACUACCGUGAUGGGGAUUGAUGUUUGUAAUUAUAUCAUGAAAGAGGAAUCCCUAGUACGUGCGAUUCAUUAGAUCGCGCGGAUUCAGUCCCUGCCCUUUGUACACACCGCCCGUCGCUACUACCGAGUGAAUGGUGUCAUAAUACCUUGGGAGCGGACAUCAUCGGGUUUCGGCCUAGAAUGAUGCUGCAAUCAGCGUAGAAUGGUGCGAUUCGAGAAGUUCGAGGAAGUAAAAGUCGUAACAAGGUUUCCGUAGGUGAACCAGCGGAAG
rnacentral:rRNA from 1 species